rnacentral:rRNA from 1 species
GAGUAAAAGUCGUAACAAGGUUUCCGUAGGUGAACCUGCGGAAGGAUCAUUAAUAAAUUUGAAUAUAUAUCACCCUACACACUUGUGAACCUAUUGUAGAUAACUACUAUGUUGAGGGAAUACACAAAUAUUAUAUCUAGGGAACUUUGUUAAUACCUACUAUGUAUUGGGGAACACAAAUAUUACCUAGGGGCAAUUUUGAGAUAUUACCCCUUACAUUAUCAAGUUGUCUAUGCUUUUUUAAUCAUCCACAUUAUAUUGUGUUGUGUAUGGCCAGAAUGUAAUAAAAUUAUAUUACAACUUUCAGCAAUGGAUCUCUUGGUUCUCGCAUCGAUGAAGAACGCAGCGAAUUGCGAUAAGUAAUGUGAAUUGCAGAUUUUCAGUGAAUCAUCGAAUCUUUGAACGCACCUUGCGCUCUUUGGUAUUCCGAAGAGCAUGCCUGUUUGAGUGUCAUUUAUAAUUAAUCAAACUAUUUCUUUAGUUUGGAGGUGGGAUUUGCUGGCAAAUACGGUCAGCUUUCCUUAAAUGCAUUAGUAAAGUUUCAGUAGCACAAGCCUUUUGGGAUGUGAUAAAGAUCAUUCCAAGGUUGCAAGUGUGUAUAUAUUAACUUUGCUUCUAAACAUGGUAUACCUUUAUAAUUGAUCUACUUAAUAGACUUUCUAAGAAAGUCGAACAGAGAUUAUAUAUAUAUAGGUAAACUUUUUUAUCUUUGUGACCUC